rnacentral:rRNA from 1 species
UGGGGAAUAUUGCACAAUGGGGGGAACCCUGAUGCAGCGACGCCGCGUGAGUGAAGAAGUAUUUCGGUAUGUAAAGCUCUAUCAGCAGGGAAGUAUAAUGACGGUACCUGACUAAGAAGCCCGGCUAACUACGUGCC